rnacentral:lncRNA from 1 species
GAAAGAUCAAAACAGGGAUUUACGUGGUUCGACUAUAUACCUACGUCCACGAGAGCGAAGUGGGAAUAAUUUUAUUCAGUAUGAAUAAUACGGUUACAACAUUGUUAUUUAUACUAACUCUACCACAAGCUCAUACAAGAUUUUAAGGUCCGUACAAGAAAAUACCCAUGUACCGUACCACGGGGGCGUUGCUUCUGUACUCCCAACCCAUUCAACGUCUCUGGCAACUAGACAAUGAAUUAAACCCCCCAAGGCCAAUGCUAUCACUCCGCUCCAUUCCGUUUGAUGCACUACACUCCGCUUCGGUAUCGGCCUAUUUGAUCCAGUAAACCUGUGUUUCACUCUAAAUGAGCCACAUACACAACAAGCAAAUCAAGAUUGGACCCUCCAUCAACUUGAUGUUAAGAAUGCAUUUUUUAAUGGUGAUCUGGAAGAAGAGGUGUAUAUGGACGUUCCUUUGGACCUAGAAACAAAAGGAAACACCAACAAAGUCUACAAACUUAUAAAAUCCCUUUAUGGUCUCAAACAGUCUCCUUGAGCCCGGUUCGAUUGCUUCACGAAGGCAGUUAAAAGGUAUGGAUACACUCAAUGUUAAUCAGAUCAUACUUUAUUCGUUAAACACUUUCUUGGGUGGAAAUUGCAAUAAUUAUUGUGUAUGUGGAUGAUAUCAUUCUAAUUGGAGACCAUGAGGAUGAAUUGUGUAGACUAAAAAAUCUGUUGGCCAAAGAAUUUGAGAUCAAAGAUUUAGGGAAUCUCAAGUACUUCCUUGGAAUGGAAAUUGCUCAGUUAAAGAAAGGCAUAGCCAUUUCUCAAAGAAAGUAUGUGAUGUAGAAUGAUUAACUCAAUAAAGAUAACAAGAAGAGAUAUAGGAGAAGGAAGAAGAAGAAGAAGAAGAAAU